GAGCACGACCAUGCCAAGGAGAAAACACCACAUCCCGCCCGAUUUGCGAAAAGGACUCACAGGCUUAGUGCUGAUGUCGGUGUUGGCUCGGGAACCUUACGUGUCGUGCUCU
rnacentral:rRNA from 1 species